CGCCUCCGCCGCCCCCCCCCCUUCCGCUCUCGCCCUCGCCUCCCCCGCUCCCGCGCCGAUGCGCGCUGCGGAUCCGCGACUUCCCGGCAUCGAUCCCCCACGCGCGGUGCGCGCGACCGCCGUCCCCGAAGCCCCGACGCCAUCUCUCCCCGCCCGCUCAUUGCCGUGCGCGCCUCUCUUACCCCUCUCCGGUCUCCGCUUCUCCGCGCCUGCGUGCGAUGUCCCGCCGCGGCAGCCGCCAUCUCCGCCACGCUCGACGACCCCACCACGCGGCUGCCCUGCCGGCGCGGAUCCCCCACGCGCGGUGCGUGCAGCCGCCGCCCUCCACGCCUACAUCGCGCGAGAGGCCGCGACUGGGAGAGGCGAGAACGCCGCGGGGCCCUGGGGCUGCUGGUGGCGGUCGGACGUCGUGUCCCAGCAAGAUAAUCGAAGCUGGGCACUGGGCAGGGCGUCACUAGGGGCGGGAGAAGGUUCGAUCCGUUCAAGAUCACGCGAAGUUAAGCUGGGCAGGGCUGCCGACGUUGUUGAAGGGCCGCGUCCCCGGCACCAGCGAGAGACUGUACUUAGCCGUGCGUUGUUGCAUACAGCUCCUUGUGUAUUCUUGUGUGAUCCUGCUAGACAAGAGGGCCUGAGUGGAGACAACUCAGGCGACGGAAUUAGUCUUUGUUUGUUAGAGUUCAGCAAAUUCAGUUGUAGCAAGGCACUGUGCCUUAUAGAGAGAUGGGGCUUCAAUUGCUCAACACCGUAAGUUUAGCCACCACUGCCCUUUUCUUUCAAUUCUCAGACUAAAUGCUUGUUUGUUAGAGUUCAGCAAAUUCAGUUGUAGCAAGGCACUGUGCCUUAUGGAGAGAUGGGGCUUCAGUUGUCCAACGCCCAUGAACCUAUUUUUGGAAGCCUAAGUAUGUUCAUUCCAAGUUUCAUCUACAGACUGGUACUCUGGUUUCGCCAUUGUCUGGUUGCCCCACACAUUAAUCUGAGUCAAGUUCCUUCUCGAGAAGGACGCCAAUGUCAUCCUUGACAGCCACCUGAAUCACAGAUCUUAAAUACACCGAUACUUGUGUUUAUGACUCUAGAUGAAGUGCUUGAAGCUAAGACCAUUAUUCAAUAUCGUGUGAACGCCCAUAGCAUCUAAUAUCUACUCAUGGGAAGAGUUUCUGCGACUGGUUUUUGUAAGGCAAUGUUCACUAUCAUCAACAGAACCUGAAUUGUAGGUGGUAUUGUUUCCUGUCCAGCAAGAGCACUGAAUCAUCAUGAUAAUUUCAAUCUGACAGGAGCAAGACUGUGAGCUGCUACUGUGUGCAACAAUGAGGGGAGGCAGUAGUUAUAGCACUCAGUACCCAUGGGUGCUUAACACAUCGUGCGACCAUUGAAGCUAGAAUACCCCUCUGGCAACCCGUGAAACACUUUUAAACACACUGCAUUGACCAUGGAUUACGAGCUUAUGGUCAACCUGGAAAACUUAGACAUGAGGUUUAAUUUUCAGCUGCAUUACCUAGAUAAAUCACCAUAUGUACAUCGUUGUUCAGUUGCAACUACUGUGGCUCUAACAUGUCAUGUGGGGCCAGACCUACUCAAGUCGGCGCAGGGUUCGUGACUUGCGCAGGGCAGCAGAGGGCGCGGCUCCUUCGCGUGGAGCGCACGCUGAUCAGGAUUCAGGCAGGCCAAAGUGGCUAAUAGGAAAGUUAUCUAAUAAAGUCCCUCCGCGUGGAAUGCACGCUGAUCAGGCAGGCCAAAGUGGCUAAUAGGAAAGUUAUCUAAUAAAGUCCUUAUGUUUAGAAGUAUAGUGUCUUUAAGUUUAGGAGCAAGUUGCUCUGGAUAGUUGGCCACGGGCCUAUUUAUACUUGUAAACAGAUUCCAGGAAGGAUUAAGCAAUAUAUUAUUGUUGGAGUAAUGGGCUUGGCCCAUUACUUCUAAAGCAUUAAAAGAA